rnacentral:rRNA from 1 species
UCUGCUCAUGAUUUAUAAAAUUAAAUAGCUGCAGUAAAUUGACUGUACGAAGGUAGCAUAGUAAUUAGUUUAUUAAUUGUAAACUGGAAUGAAUGAGUUGACUAGGUAUUGGCUGUCUGGUUUUUGUAUAUUUUGUUGAAUUUAGUUUUUAAGUUAAAAAUCUUAAUGGUUUUUGAGGGACGAGAAGACCCUAUAGAACUUUACAUUAGUUUUUUAGUUGAUGGAUAAAUUUAUUGUUUAGUUGGGGUGAUUGGAAUAAUAUAUAAACUAUUUUUGUUUAAUACAAUGAUUUUUGGCUGGGGUGUUUUAAGGUUUUAUAGAAAGAUAAAGUUACCUUAGGGAUAACAGCAUAAUUCUUAUGGAAAGUUCAAAUUAAUAUAAGAGUUUGUGACCUCGAUGUUGAAUUAGGGUACCUUAUUGGCGAAGUUGCUUGUUAAGUUGGUCUGUUCGACCAUUGAAAUCUUACA